rnacentral:lncRNA from 1 species
GAUUUUUGUGUCGCUACCAUCACUUUUCCUUCGGUUGCAUUAGGGAAUAAAGUUUCAUCAGACAGAUUGUAGUGGAAAGUUAGCUCUUCAACUUGGUACUUAUCCAGAGUUUUUGAGAAAUUCAGACUUAUCAAGUGUCCUGCUCCAAAACUCAAUGCUAGAAUUGGAUGAGAUGUGUUACCUUCACCACACGAGCUGUGUGACUGUGAUGUGGCAUUUUGGGGAAGAAAGAAGUGUGCAAACUGCUUUUGCCCACUGCUUUUGUAUUCCACUGAGAAGGCUACUGUCAGGUUAGCAAUUAUGCAGACUUUGCCUGUCGAAUCUCUCACGUCAAAUGAAGAGGAAGCCUGUAAAAAGCCGAGCAGGACGGCCGCGAGCAGCGCCCGCGCCAUGGCGGGGCAGGAGGUGCGAGGCGGCGGCAGAAGGGCAGCAAGAAGCGGGGGGCGGUGGCGCAGCACCGCGUUAGGGAGACAGGCGACAGCCCCGGCCGGUCAUAUGUCC